GCUCGGGGUGGCGCGGGGCGUCGUGGGUCAGGACUGCGGGGCGGUGGUCCCGGGUCCGCUCCUCGUGCUC
rnacentral:tRNA from 1 species